rfam:Angomonas deanei Cont11632, whole genome shotgun sequence.
ACAGUGGUCGUCUAGUGGUUAGGACAUUCGCCUCACACGCGAGAGAUCGUGGGUUCAAUCCCCACCCAUUGUA